AAACCCUGAUCCAGCGACGCCGCGUGAGUGAAGAAGUAUUUCGGUAUGUAAAGCUCUAUCAGCAGGGAAGAAAAUGACGGUACCUGACUAAGAAGCCCCGGCUAACUACGUGCCAGCAGCCGCGGUAAUAG
rnacentral:rRNA from 1 species